rnacentral:rRNA from 1 species
UUGACCUCGAAUCAGGUAGGGAUAC